UACGUAGGGGGCAAGCGUUGUCCGGAAUUACUGGGCGUAAAGCGCGUGUAGGCGGCCCUGCAAGUCGGAUGUGAAAUCCCACGGCUCAACCGUGGAAGUGCAUUCGAAACUGCAGGGCUAGAGUCCUGGAGAGGAAGGUGGAAUGCUUGGUGUAGAGGUGAAAUUCGUAGAUAUCAAGCGGAACACCGGUGGCGAAGGCGGCUUUCUGGACGACAACUGACGCUGAGACGCGAAAGCGUGGGGAGCAAACAGG
rnacentral:rRNA from 1 species